rnacentral:rRNA from 1 species
GAACGAACGCUGGCGGCGUGGCUAAGACAUGCAAGUCGAACGUGCCAGUUAAUUUAUUAAUUGGUCAGUGGCGAAAGGGUGAGUAAUGGAUAGGUAACGUACCCCGGGCUCCGGGAUAGCUAGCCGAAAGGUUAGGUAAUACCGGAUGAUAUCGUGGACUGACGGGUCUGCGAUCAAAGAUUUAUCGGCACGGGAGCGGCCUAUCUCCUAUCAGCUAGUUGGUGAGGUAACGGCCCACCAAGGCGAUGACGGGUAGCGGGACUGAGAGGUUGGCCCGCCACAUCGGGACUGAGACACUGCCCGGACCCCCACGGGGGGCUGCAGUAACGAAUAUUGGGCAAUGGGCGAAAGCCUGACCCAGCGACGCCGCGUGCGGGAGGAAGCCCUUCGGGGUGUAAACCGCUGUCAGACAAAGGAAAGUCCGCUUCGGCGGAUUGAUCCGAGUCAGAGGAAGUCACGGCUAACUCUGUGCCAGCAGCCGCGGUAAGACAGAGGUGGCA